ACAAACUUGGUCAUUUAGAGGAAGUAAAAGUCGUAACAAGGUUUCCGUAGGUGAACCUGCGGAAGGAUCAUUAACAAGUCCGUCCCUGUGUGGGACAUUUGUUCCGUGUGCAUGUCACGUGCACAUUGAUACAUUUCUGUCGAUCGUCUGAUUAUUUUGACCAACUACGAAUGACUUUUAACAAUGGAUCUCUAGGCUCCUUCAGAUGUGUAUAAGAGACAGACAAACUUGGUCAUUUAGAGGAAGUAAAAGUCGUAACAAGGUUUCCGUAGGUGAACCUGCGGAAGGAUCAUUAACAAGUCCGUCCCUGUGUGGGACAUUUGUUCCGUGUGCAUGUCACGUGCACAUUGAUACAUUUCUGUCGAUCGUCUGAUUAUUUUGACCAACUACGAAUGACUUUUAACAAUGGAUCUCUAGGCUCCUGCAUCGAUGAAGAACGCAGC
rnacentral:misc_RNA from 1 species